GGCUGCAGUCGAGGAUCUUCGGCAAUGGGCGCAAGCCUGACCGAGCGACGCCGCGUGUGGGAUGAAGGCCUUCGGGUUGUAAACCGCUGUCAGUGGGGAGGAAAUGCGGGAGGGAACUCCCUUCCGUUUGACCUAUCCGCAGAGGAAGUACGGGCUAAGUUCGUGCCAGCAGCCGCGGUAAGACGAACCGUGCGAACGUUAUUCGGAAUCACUGGGCUUAAAGCGCGUGUAGGCGGAUGGGAACGUCGGAUACUGAAAGCCCCCGGCUCAACCGGGGAAGUGGUUCCGAAACGACCUGUCUGGAGGGACGUAGGGGGAUCUGGAACUUCCGGUGGAGCGGUGAAAUGCGUUGAGAUCGGAAGGAACGCCCGUGGCGAAAGCGAGGUCCUGGACGUCUGCUGACGCUGAGACGCGAAAGCUAGGGGAGCAAACGGGAUUAGAUACCCCGGUAGUCCUAGCCGUAAACGAUGGGCACUGGGUAGGGGGCUCGCCGAUGGGCUCUCUGCCGUAGCGAAAGCGUGAAGUGCCCCGCCUGGGGAGUAUGGUCGCAAGGCUGAAACUCAAAGGAAUUGACGGGGGCUCACACA
rnacentral:rRNA from 1 species